rnacentral:rRNA from 1 species
ACGGAAGGCAGCAGUGGGGAAUAUUGCACAAUGGGCGAAAGCCUGAUGCAGCGACGCCGCGUGAGUGAAGAAGUAUCUCGGUAUGUAAAGCUCUAUCAGCAGGGAAGAAAAUGACGGUACCUGACUAAGAAGCCCCGGCUAACUACGUGCCAGCAGCCGCGGUAAUACGUAGGGGGCAAGCGUUAUCCGGAUUUACUGGGUGUAAAGGGGGCGUAGACGGUUUGGCAAGUCUGAAGUGAAAUGCGGGGGCUCAACUCCUGAACUGCUUUGGAAACUGUCGAACUAGAGUGCAGGAGAGGUAAGUGGAAUUCCUAGUGUAGCGGUGAAAUGCGUAGAUAUUAGGAGGAACACCAGUGGCGAAGGCGGCUUACUGGACUGUAACUGACGUUGAGGCUCGAAAGCGUGGGGAGCAAACAGGAUUAGAUACCCUGGUA